rnacentral:RNase_P_RNA from 1 species
ACAGUGUUCCGGCUCUGCCGCUGGCAUGGCUAUACAUGCGAGAGGAAAGUCCGGGCAGCACAGGGCGCUCCACUUCUGAAACUGGAAGCUAUUGGUGACAAUAGGAUAAUGCAGAAGAAAACAACCGCCAGGCUUUAUGCCAGGUAAGGGUGAGAAGGUAGUGUAAGAGACUACCAGCCGACGGGUGAUCGUCGGGCUGUGCAUUCUGGGGGCUGCAAGUUCGCGUAAACCGUCGUCUGAGGAUAGCCCGUCCGACUAAUUCCGACGGAGGGUAGAAUGCUUAAGUUAUGGGGUGACUCAUAAAUUAGAUAAAUGGCAGGCACCGUCAUAUCGGCGAGAGUCUAUGGCGGAACAGAACCCGGCUUACAGGAACGCUGUUUUC